GUCAGAGCUCCAUUGUCGAGACACUGAUCGGUUGAAGUUGUGUUUCUUUAAGUACAGGCACUUUUAUAUACCAGGGGUUGAUUUUUAUUAACUAACUUUAUUUUUUGUUUUUCUUAUUUGAGAAUGUACAAGAAAUGCUUUUAUUUAGUUUUGCUUUCAAAUAUUUGGCCUAGCCCCAAAACAUUUCAUCUUAAACUAUGAAAAUCUAUUGUAAAAAUAUGCUUGCGUUUUUAAAACUAUGAUGAUCUAUACAAAAAGUGGCCAUUCCAAUGUUUAUAAUGUGAAAAUGAUUUAUAAAAAAUUUUGUGCAUAAUUACAACUGUCUGUUGGGGUGUAAUUUUCACUUCAACAAACAGUAAGUUUAGUCUUGAGAUGACAUAUGACACUCGAUAUACAGUAUGAAGAAGCCAAAGAAAACUCAAGGUAAAUACAGUGGGUAUAGAAAAGAAUCAGCCACUUUAUAUAAUAAUCACAUUUUGUUGCUUUGCAGCAUGAAAUGAAGACGUUUUUGUUUUAUCCAGAUGUAUUUACUCAGUGCAGCCAAGUGAAAGAUAAAACACUAACAUGUCAGAGAAAAAUGAUAAAUCAGAAUCACUGACUUGUGUCAGUAUUUUGUUGAAGCACCUUUUCCUUUAAUUACAGCCUUUAGUCUGUUGGUAUCCGUCUCUACCAGGGGCGUAAAUUUCAUCUAACAGUUGGGGGGGAGGGAUUUUUGAAGGAGACACAAAUAAAUAAUACAGUUAAAAUUGUACUUGUAAGGAUAUGUAUACACAGAGGAAUGGCUUACUACUAUUAGUGUAGCAGGGAGACCGUGCCAAAUUAGACAACUUCAAGUUGUUGUGGUCACUCCGUGACAGAGGUUGUGUCCGUUGUAGACAUUACCGUCACAGUGUUGCCAAGUCCGCGGUUUUCCCGUGGAAUUGGGCUACUUUAUCACUGUUGCUGUGGGUUGUUUUUAAUGUCCGCAGGUUGAAGCGACCCCAAUAACGUGCAUUUUAGCCCCCGGAAUACGAUUUUUACCAUAGGACCCCCUCGAAACGUGGUUAGUUUGGGCUAGUUUUGGGUAGAAAAUUGGGCAGGUUCUGUUGUGAAAACCUGGCAACCCUUUCCGUCAAGCAAGUAACGUUAUUAUUGCUAACAUAGCAGACUCAUCGAAGGUAUAGCCUGAAUGCACUGUAAAUCGCUUUGGAUAAAGGGGUCUGCUAAAUGCAUAAAUGUAAAAAAUAGCCUUGACAGCCUUACUUACUGGAGUUCCACAACUAUUGACUUCUCUCUCACCGGACUUGUGUGUGUAGGUGAUGUAAAAGAGGAAAGUAGGCAUUUGGACCAAAGUACUGUGAGGCAAGGGAUGGGGGAGACUCAAAAUGGUUCUAAACUUAAAACGCAUUUUUGACCCAUUUGUGUUGUUUUACUACUUACAGAAUUAUUUAAAGUAUAAAAAUUUCCGCCUAUGGUCUCUACUAACUUUGCAAAUUUAGACUUUGCAAUAUUUGCUCACUCUUCUUUGCAGAACUACUCAAGGUCAGUUCAAUCUGACGGUGAGCAUUUGUGUACUGCAGUCUUCAAGUCAUUCCACAAAUUUUCAGUGGGGUUUAAGUCUGGACUCUGAUGACCUUUUGCUCCUUCAACCACUGUGUGCUCAGUUUUGCUGUGUGCUUUGGGUCAUUGUCAGUUUGGAAGGUAAACCUUAUUCCCAUUGACAGCUUUUCCUCAAGAAUAUGACCAUGUUUUGCAUCCAUUUCUCCUACUAUCCUCACUCAUGCUUCAGUCUGUGCUGCAGAGAAACACCUCAUAACAGGACAUCACCACCUCCAUGCUUUACUGCAGGAAUGCUUUUGUUUGGAUGCUGAGCUGGAUUGGAUUUCUGCUAGACAUAUCAUUUGGUGUUGAGGCCAAAUAAUUUAAUUUUAGUCUCAUCGGCCUCAGAAUCUUCAAGGUGCGUUUCAGCAAAGCUCACUCUGGCUGCAUGUGGCCUUUCUUAAGGAGUGGCUUUUUU
ensembl:lncRNA